rnacentral:rRNA from 1 species
UACAGGGGUGCAAACGUUGCUCGGAAUUAUUGGGCGUAAAGCGCGCGUAGGCGGCUACUUAAGUCGGGUGUGAAAGCCCCGGGCUCAACCUGGGAAUUGCAUUCGAGACUGCAUUGCUGGAGUACGGAAGAGGAAGGCGGAAUUCCCGGUGUAGCGGUGAAAUGCGCAGGAUAUCGGGAGGAACACCAAUGGCGAAGGCAGCUCGCUGGGACGGUAACUGACGCUAGGCGCGAAAGCGUGGGAGCAACA